CAAGUCGAACGAACCUUUUAGGUUAGUGGCGCACGGGUGCGUAACACCCGUUAAUAUACCCUAGAGUAAGGAAUAACUGCUGGAAACGGUAGCUAAUACCUUAUAAUGACUCCGGUCCAAAGAUUUAUCGCUCUGGGAUUAGCCCGCGCCUGAUUAGAUUGUUGGUGAGGUAACGGCUCACCAAGUCUACGAUCAGUAGGGGGUCUGAGAGGAUGAUCCCCCACACUGGAACUGAGACACGGUCCAGACUCCUACGGGAGGCAGCAGUGAGGAAUAUUGCGCAAUGGAGGAAACUCUGACGCAGCCAUGCCGCGUGAGUGAAGAAGGCCUUAGGGUUGUAAAGCUCUUUCAAUAGUGAAGAUAAUGACGGUAACUAUAGAAGAAGCCCCGGCUAAAUUCGUGCCAGCAGCCGCGGUAAUACGAAUGGGGCAAGCGUUGUUCGGAAUCACUGGGCUUAAAGCGUGCGCAGGCGGAUAAGAAAGUCAGAAGUGAAAUCCCGGAGCUCAACUCCGGAACUGCUUUUGAAACUCCUUAUCUUGAAUCCGGGAGAGGUCAGUAGAAUUCCUAGUGUAGAGGUGAAAUUCGCAGAUAUUAGGAGGAAUACCAGUGGCGUAGGCGACUGACUGGACCGGUAUUGACGCUCAUGUACGAAAGCGUGGGGAGCAAACAGGAUUAGAUACCCUGGUAGUCCACGCCGUANACGAUGUGUGCUAGUUGUUGGGGUCUUUAGGCCUCGGUGACGCAGGGAAACCAUUAAGCACACCGCCUGGGGAGUA
rnacentral:rRNA from 1 species